AUUGAACGCUGGCGGCAGGCUUAACACAUGCAAGUCGAGCGGUAGCACAGGGGAGCUUGCUCCCUGGGUGACGAGCGGCGGACGGGUGAGUAAUGUCUGGGAAACUGCCUGAUGGAGGGGGAUAACUACUGGAAACGGUAGCUAAUACCGCAUAACGUCGCAAGACCAAAGAGGGGGACCUUCGGGCCUCUUGCCAUCAGAUGUGCCCAGAUGGGAUUAGCUAGUAGGUGGGGUAAUGGCUCACCUAGGCGACGAUCCCUAGCUGGUCUGAGAGGAUGACCAGCCACACUGGAACUGAGACACGGUCCAGACUCCUACGGGAGGCAGCAGUGGGGAAUAUUGCACAAUGGGCGCAAGCCUGAUGCAGCCAUGCCGCGUGUGUGAAGAAGGCCUUCGGGUUGUAAAGCACUUUCAGCGAGGAGGAAGGUGGUGAGCUUAAUACGUUCAUCAAUUGACGUACUCGCAGAAGAAGCACCGGCUAACUCCGUG
rnacentral:rRNA from 1 species